rnacentral:rRNA from 1 species
GACGAACGCUGGCGGCGUGCCUAAUACAUGCAAGUCGAGCGGAUGAAAGAGGAGCUUGCUCCUCUAGAUUCAGCGGCGGACGGGUGAGUAACACGUGGGCAACCUGCCCUGUAGAUUGGGAUAACUCCGGGAAACCGGGGCUAAUACCGAAUAAUCCUUCGGACCUCAUGGUCCGAUGUUGAAAGACGGUUUCGGCUGUCACUACAGGAUGGGCCCGCGGCGCAUUAGCUAGUUGGUGAGGUAACGGCUCACCAAGGCCACGAUGCGUAGCCGACCUGAGAGGGUGAUCGGCCACACUGGGACUGAGACACGGCCCAGACUCCUACGGGAGGCAGCAGUAGGGAAUCUUCCACAAUGGACGAAAGUCUGAUGGAGCAACGCCGCGUGAGUGAAGAAGGUUCUCGGACCGUAAAACUCUGUUGUGAGGGAAGAACAAGUACCGGAGUAACUGCCGGUGCCUUGACGGUACCUCAUUAGAAAGCCACGGCUAACUACGUGCCAGCCGCCGCGGUAA